UACGUAGGGGGCAAGCGUUGUCCGGAAUCAUUGGGCGUAAAGAGCGUGUAGGCGGCCCGGUAAGUCCGCUGUGAAAGUCCAGGGCUCAACCCUGGGAUGCCGGUGGAUACUGUCGGGCUCGAGUCUGGAAGAGGAGUGUGGAAUUCCUGGUGUAGCGGUGAAAUGCGCAGAUAUCAGGAGGAACACCAAUGGCGAAGGCAGCACUCUGGGACGUGACUGACGCUGAGACGCGAAAGCGUGGGGAGCAAACAGG
rnacentral:rRNA from 1 species